rnacentral:rRNA from 1 species
GACGAACGCUGGCGGCGUGCCUAAUACAUGCGAGUCGAGCGAACGGACCUAACAGAUUUUCCUCGGUAAUGACGUUAGGAAAGCAAGCGGCGGAUGGGUGAGCAUCACGUGGGGAACCUGCCCCAUAGUCUGGGCUACCACUUGGAAACAGGUGCUAAUACCGGAUAAGAAAUCAGAUCGCAUGAUCAGCUUUUAAAAGGCGGCGUAAGCUGUCGCUAUGGGUUGGCCACGCGGUUCAUUAGCCAGUUGGUAAGGUAAAGGCUUACCAAGGCGAUGAUGCGUAGCCGAGGUGAGAGAGUGAUCGGCCACAUUGGGACUGAGACACGGCCCAGACUCCUACGGGAGGCAGCAGUAGGGAAUCUUCCACAAUGGGCGCAAGUCUGAUGGAGCAACGCCGCGUGAGUGAAGAAGGUUUUCGGAUCGUAAAACUCUGUUGUUGGUGAAGAACGAUUGAGGUAGUAACUAGGCUUGUUUUGACGGUAAUCAAACAGAAAGUCACGGCUAACUACGUG